rnacentral:rRNA from 1 species
GACGAACGCUGGCGGCGUGCUUAACACAUGCAAGUCGAACGGUAAGGCCCUGUCGGGGGUACACGAGUGGCGCACGGGGGAGUAACACGCGAGUAACCUGCCCACAACUUUGGGAUAACGCUAGGAAACUGGGGCCAAUUCUGGCUAUGUGCUCCUGCUGCAUGGUGGGGGUUGGAAAGCUCCGGCGGUUGUGGAUGGACUCGCGGCCUAUCAGCUUGUUGGUGGGGUAGUGGCCUACCAAGGCGGCGACGGGUAGCCGGCCUGGGAGGGUGACCGGCCACCUUGGGGCUGAGGUACGGCCCAGACUCCUACGGGAGGCCGCAGGGGGGAAUCUUGCACCAUGGGCGCAAGCCUGGUGCAGCAACGCCGCGGGCGGGAUGACGGCCUUCGGGUUGUAAACCGCUUUCAGCAGGGACGAAGCUUUUUGUGACGGUACCUGCAGAAGAAGCACCGGCUAACUACGUG